GCUCACUCCGGCUGGCGCCGCCGCCUCGCGCGCUCCUACUCCGCCGCGACCGUCCGGGGGGGGCUGCUCCUCCCAAGUACCAUGUGUGACGGCGCCCUGCUGCCUCCUCUCGUCCUGCCCUUGCUGCUGCUGCUGGUUUGGGGACUGGACCCGGGCACAGCUGUCGGCGACGCGGCGGCCGACGUGGAGGUGGUGCUCCCGCGGCGGGUGCUCCCCGAAGACGUGCACCUGCCGCCGCUGCCCGGCGCUCCAGGGCCCCGCAGGCGCCGGCGCCCCCGCGCGCCCCAAGCCGUCCCGCGCGCCCGGCCCGGCGAGCGCGCCCUGCUCCUGCACCUGCCGGCCUUUGGGCGCGACCUGUACUUGCAGCUGCGCCGCGACCUGCGCUUCCUGUCCGGCGGCUUCGAGGUGGAGGAGGCCGGCGCAGCGGGGCGCCGCGGACGCCCCACAGAGCUGUGCUUCUACUCUGGCAGCGUGCUCGGCUACCCCGGCUCCGUCGUCUCGCUUAGCGCCUGCGGCGCCGCCGGCGGCCUGGUUGGCCUCAUCCAGCUUGGGCAGGAACAGGUGCUAAUCCAGCCUCUCAACAAUUCCCAGGGACAAGAGCAUCUGAUCAGGCGCAGAUGGUCCUUGACACCCAGCCCCUCUGCCGAGACCCAGAUAUCUGGGCAACUCUGCAAGGUCCUAACAGAAAAGAAGAAGCCGAGGAGGGGCUGGCCGUCACGAGACUGGCGGGAGCGGAGGAAUGCCAUCCGGCUGACCACCGAGCACACAGUGGAGACGCUGGUAGUGGCCGAUGCUGACAUGGUGCAGUACCACGGGGCCGAGGCCGCCCAGAGGUUCAUCCUCACUGUCAUGAACAUGGUAUACAAUAUGUUUCAGCACCAGAGCCUUGGAAUUAAAGUUAACAUUCAAGUUACCAAGCUUGUCCUGCUACGACAGCGUCCUGCCAAAUUGUCCAUUGGGCACCAUGGUGAGCGGUCCCUGGAGAGCUUCUGUCACUGGCAGAACGAGGAGUAUGGAGGCGCACGGUACCUCGGCAACAAUCAGGUUCCAGGAGGCAAGGACGAUACGCCCCCCGUGGAUGCCGCUGUAUUUGUGACCAGGACAGAUUUCUGCGUACACAAAGAUGAACCUUGUGACACCGUUGGAAUUGCUUACUUAGGAGGUGUGUGCAGUGCUAAGAGGAAAUGUGUGCUUGCCGAAGACAAUGGCCUCAAUUUGGCCUUUACCAUCGCUCAUGAGCUGGGCCACAACUUGGGAAUGAACCACGAUGACGACCACUCCUCCUGCGCUGGCAGGUCCCACAUCAUGUCGGGAGAGUGGGUGAAAGGCCGGAACCCCAGCGACCUCUCCUGGUCCUCCUGCAGUCGAGAUGACCUUGAAAACUUCCUCAAGUCAAAAGUUAGCACUUGUUUGCUGGUCACAGACCCCAGGAGCCAGCACGCGGUGCGCCUGCCCCACAAGUUGCCAGGCAUGCACUACAGCGCCAACGAGCAGUGCCAGAUCCUCUUUGGCACCAACGCCACCUUCUGCAGAAACAUGGAGCAGCAUCUGAUGUGCGCUGGACUGUGGUGCCUGGUGGAAGGAGAUACAUCCUGCAAGACCAAACUGGACCCUCCCCUGGAUGGCACAGAGUGUGGGGCAGACAAGUGGUGCCGCGCUGGGGAGUGUGUGAACAAGACGCCCAUCCCAGAGCACGUGGACGGGGACUGGAGCCUGUGGGGCACCUGGAGCAUGUGCAGCCGCACGUGUGGCACGGGAGCCCGCUUCCGGCAGAGGAAAUGCGACAACCCUCCCCCGGGGCCUGGAGGCACGCACUGCCUGGGCGCCAGCGUGGAGCACGCGGUCUGUGAGAACUUGCCCUGCCCCAAGGGCCUGCCCAGCUUCCGUGACCAGCAGUGCCAGAUGCAUGACCGGCUGAGCAGCAAGAAGAAGGGCCUGCUGACAGCAGUGGUGGUUGACGAUAAGCCGUGUGAACUCUACUGCUCGCCCCUCGGGAAGGAGUCCCCGCUGCUGGUGGCCGACAGGGUCCUGGACGGCACGCCUUGCGGGCCCUACGAGACCGACCUCUGUGUGCACGGCAGGUGCCAGAAAAUCGGCUGUGAUGGAAUCAUUGGGUCUGCGGCCAAAGAAGACCGGUGUGGGGUCUGCAGCGGGGACGGCAAGACCUGCCGCGUGGUGAAGGGUGACUUCAGCCACUCUCGGGGCACAGGUUAUAUUGAAGCUGCUAUCAUUCCAGCUGGAGCUCGAAGGAUUCGCGUGGUGGAAGAUAAACCUGCCCACAGUUUUCUGGCUCUCAAAGACUCCAGCAAGAGAUCCAUCAACAGUGACUGGAAGAUAGAGCUCCCCGGAGAGUUCCAGAUUGCAGGCACGACCGUCCGCUAUGUUAGAAGGGGCCUGUGGGAGAAAAUUUCCGCCAAGGGACCAACCAAAAUGCCUCUGCAUUUGAUGGUGUUGUUAUUUCAUGACCAAAAUUAUGGAAUUCAUUACGAAUACACCAUUCCCGUAAACUACACUGCUGAAAAUCAAAGUGAACCAGAAAAACCGCAGGACUCCUUGUUCAUCUGGACCCACAGCAGCUGGGAAGGUUGCAGUGUGCAGUGCGGAGGAGGGGAACGCAGAACCAUCGUGUCCUGCACACGGAUUGUUAACAAGACCACGACUCUGGUGAAUGACAGUGACUGCCCUCAAGCCAGCCGUCCGGAGCCCCAGAUCCGAAGGUGCAAUUUGCACCCAUGCCAGUCACGGUGGGUGGCAGGCCCGUGGAGCCCCUGCUCAGCGACCUGUGAGAAGGGCAUCCAGCACCGGGAAGUGACCUGCAUGUACCAGCUGCAGAAUGGCACACACGUCGCCACUCGGCCCCUCUACUGCCCGGUGCCCCGGCCAUCGGCAGUGCAGAGCUGCGAAGGCCAGGACUGCCUGUCCAUCUGGGAGGCGUCAGAGUGGUCACAGUGUUCUGCCAGCUGUGGUAAAGGGACAAAGAAACGAACUGUGACAUGCACCAACUCGCAAGGAAAAUGCGAUGCAUCCACGAGGCCGAGAGCUGAGGAGCCCUGUGAGGACUACUCUGGCUGCUACGAGUGGAAAACAGGGGGCUGGUCCAAGUGCUCGUCGACCUGUGGGAAGGGCCUGCAGUCCCGUGUGGUGCAGUGCAUGCACAAGGUCACCGGGCGCCAUGGCAAUGAGUGCCCAACCCUCUCCAAGCCGGCAGCCUACAAACAGUGCCACCAAGAAGUCUGCAAUGACAAGAUCAACGUGAACACCAUCACUUCCCCUCGCCUCGCUGCCCUGACCUACAAAUGCACACGGGACCAGUGGACAGUGUAUUGCAGGGUCAUCCGAGAAAAGAACCUCUGCCAGGACAUGCGGUGGUACCAGCGCUGCUGCCAGACAUGCAGGGACUUCUAUGCGAACAAGAUGCGCCAGCCACUGCCGCCACCAAGUUCAUGACAGGCGGCCAGUGGUCCCGCGAUGCUCCGACAUGAGGUCUGAGUCCUGACGACAUGGCUAGUUGAAAGCCCACCCACCCGAGAGCACACCAGUCCUGCGGCUGGGACCCCCAAAGCACACCGCGGCUCACCCAGGAGGCUGUCCCAAGAAUCCAAUUGCUUAGAACCUGAGAGUGGACUUGACGUUUGCUUAGUGCUUUUAUACUUAAUAUAUUGUUAACAGCCACUGGAUGGCUUUCUACGGUAAGGAAAAAAUAGGCAUGAGUCACAAAAUAAUUGUAAUUUCUAAGGUUCCACGUACCUCAAAGGGAACACCUCUGACAGAAAUCGUCAAGAGAGACGUCACAGGCGCCCCUGUCUUGGAUGUAUCGGGGGAGGGGGAGGAUAUCCAAAAACUGAGACGUUUUACUUUAAAGCAGGCUUUAUUCUGAAAGCCCGUGACACCCUGGAUGGAAGGAGGCUUCUCUGGAGAGGCCGGGCUGCUGGAGCCCCCUUGACACCACAAGGACCAGCACUUGGCCCCUCCACCCUGUCAGGGAACGUGCUCUCUAGAUCGCGGCUUUUCCUUGGAGGUCUUGUCCCUGAGAGUCUGAGUCUGUGUGAACUAAAAAGGACGCUAGGGCUGUGUAGUUCUGCAUACCACCUACGUGGGGGAGAACAUUCCAGAAGGGCUUGGGUUUGGGGACGUAUCUAGUUUUCAGAUCUCUGUUGUCCCCCACACAGGGAAACAGAAGAGCCUCUCUUCAAGGUGCUGUGAGAGGAGGCACGUGCUAAUUUUGGCCUUGGGAUUGCUUCCUGGCAUAGAGGUGAGCUCAGGGCAGCUUUGGGAGGGGUGGAGGGGCUCCCCCUCUGCUUCUGGGGACCUCUGCUCUAGCCAGUACUUCAUAAAGCUUUGCACCUUAGAGAUGGCUUCCCAUUGACCUUGGCCAUCUAUCUGAAGUUGAUUCUUCUUAGAACCUCUGAAGACUCAGGCUCAGGCCUGGCGCUUCACCCUGGCACGGGGCAGGUUUCCUCCAGGACUGCUCAGCCUAGUGCCAGGAUGGAUGGAGGAGUGGCCCCUGGCCAGGAUGGCCACAUAUGCACCCAGCCUUUCCGUGGCCCAGACCUUGCAAUGUUCGUCAUUGUCAUGCUGUCGUUGUUGACCCGUCUUAGUGGGGCAAGAAUGACACUCAGAAAAUCCGGAAGAAGGUAUUUGCCUCCUACAGACACCUCACCCCUCAAAACAGAACUGUGCCCUCUCUGGAGCCCAGGGAGAUGAAAAGAGUGUCCUCUGUGAAAGCACAGAAGAUGGUACGACCCUGCCUGCCCGGGAGCUGGGAGGAGGGGACCCGACAUGCUGGGAGGUCUGGUCUGCUGACCAACUUGGUGGGCCUUUGAUGGGUGCUUAUAUUCAAGGACUUUAUCAUGAGAAACCCACCCUCUCCUCCCUUAUUUCAGAGGGGAUCUUAUUUAGGCUAAUCUCCAUGGGAUCAUCUCCCAGUGCUUCUUGAUUUACUGGUGCUGUGUUUAUGUAUCUGUGUUUGAGUUUUUGAUGUCACAACUUUAGAGUCAGCUUAAAUCAGAAAGAAAAAGAAACACUCUGCCACCCCAAGCCCGUCUUAUGGGCUGUGUUUUGGUUUGUGAUUUUUUACUGCCCCAGAGGCAGAAAAGUGGUAGGGAUGGCAGGGAAUCUAUUCAGUUCCACUUGAAUCUGUGAGAAGUGUUGAGAAAACUCCUUAGGUGUUCUGUGGAAAGACCCCAGAGGGUACCAGGCUGGGGCAGCUCACCUGCAAGGUAACCUCCAGCGGCUGCCCAGGGCCUGUGCAGAACGCUGUCCUCCCUGCUCCGGCUUGGCCGCGAGCAGACUCCCCAGGCCCCUCAAAGUCUUGGGGAGCUAGGGCUCAGUUUUCCCCCAGCCCCAAAUGGGCUGUACUUUACCACAGAUGAACAGAAAGCUCUCAGCCUUGGGGGCUGAGGAGCAGAGUCGGGGCAGCAAGCUAAGGAAGCCGGGGCAGCCUUGCUUACUGUCUGCAUGGGAACCACGGGCCCACCUGAGCUGGGCAAGCAUGUGCACAUGCCCAGAGGCAAGCCCGUUGCCUGGUGCCUCUGAAUCUCCCCCCUGGCCACCUUGACGGUAUCAACUGGACGCCCCUGGCAAGGGCCCCACACCCUCAGAAUGCAAAUGACUGAUUCAGUUAUUGUUAAACAUCCCUUUGGUUCCCCAAAGUUUAGGUCUUUCUGAGCUCUUUUAGCUCAUGCUGGCACUGUCACUCUGAAAUUCACCAGCCCGCCUUCUGUUCACGGCACAAGCAAUGAUCAAUUUCAGUGAAGCCAUCAUAGCACUCUUGCUCCACUUUGUACAGAAGACAAUGAAACCCUGUCAUUACAACAGCGAUGUUUCUUUAUGGUUAACAAUACCCUGUACUGUCACUCAAGUACUGUACCUUUUUGGUUGCACAAAUGUGUUACUAACUACAGAGUCUCACAAUCUUAUGGUGCUAUUUUCAUUGGUGCAAAUGAAACCCUCUCAGUUGACCAUGGCUUGAUAUUAUCAGAACACAGGGAAAGAUCCUCAAUGGCAGUAAUAUCAUUGCUUUGUUCUCUUUUCUUCAUUUCAGAGUCAAAUGUAUAUAUUUUCCAUUACCUAACUUACAUUACGUACUGUACCCAUGGUAUUUUUGUUUUACUUUUUGGUGCUGGUUUGAAAGAAAAGAAAAAAAAAAAAAAGAACAGAAGACAAACAUUGGACACCACUGUAAAUGAAAAAUUAAGCAUUUCAUUGGAAGUGAGUUGAAUAUGUUUAAUAAAAUGUUCUUCCAUAACAAUUUUAAGCUGUCUGUGAAGUAAAAGACAAAAACCAGUCCUCGAGGGCUGACAGAGGGAGGCUGUGUCCUUUUCUUCUGCAGUGGUCACACCACUUGCCUGGGACUUGGCUGCAAGGAACUGCAGCCUGCCGACCACAGCUGUGGACAGUGUCAGAGGUCGCUGGUAAAUGCAGUUCUGGCGGGUGGCUGCAUCUCCCCAAGUGAGUGCUAACAAAUCAUUCAGUCCUGGGCCUCAUCCCUGUGUGGUUGCAAAACCCUGGGUGGGGACAUGAAAGUGUGACAGCUGUACAGUGAGUCUGUGAGUCUGAUACAGAGCAGCUACCUCACUGGUGGAGCUGCCCAGGCUCCAUGGGGGUGCAGUGACCCCUCUGCAGGGGACCCCUAUCAUGCCAGAAUGGGUACCUGCUCUCUACAACCUUGCCUCUUCAAGCUUUAGCCCCCACCCCAAUCCUGCUGGCAGCCCAACAGCUUCCCCACUCCUGCAGGUGUGAGCCAGACCUGGCCCUUCCUACCUCCCAGUCUGGGGACACAGCAAGGGCACCACACCAUCAUAAUGGGGACCACUGCAGCCAUUUGGACCCCAUCUGGGCCUGACAUGGAGCAGGGAUGUCACAGCUCCUGCUCUUGGAGGGGGUUGUCUCCUCCCAGUGUCAAGGGGAAAGAGCUCCCCACCCAAGAACUUGGAGGUUCAUUAGACAGAGGGCCUCUUUUUAAUGUUGGAGCAACACCCAGAAAUUUCACAGAAUAAAGACCAUUUGUUUAAUCGACGACCUACUGCCCAUGGCCCCCUGGUUACCAAGAAGCCUGUAGUUUGUGUUAAUUCCCAAGAACCAUCAGCCACCUGCCUCUGGGACCCAUUAGAACCCUUUCCUUGCUCUGGGAGUUCUGAUCUCUCUUCUGGGUUAACUUCUAACAGCCCUGAUGCUAUGUGAUUUCUUUAUAAGCUGCUUGGAUUCCAGUUUGUUAGACGAAAUGGACAAGCAAUCAAUCAGCAAGUGUUGAGUGAGCUUCUAUUAGGAAUCAAGCACGUCCUGGAGCCACUGAGAACACAAAUGGACAAAAGACCUGCUCUGGAGCCCACAGCCCCUCAGACAAGCCUGGAGUCCUGGACAACAGAGAAUGAGUGAGAGCUGCAGGAACUCCAAAAAAGAAAGUUCUCUAUCCCACAGGCCAAGGACCAGGUUUCAUCCAUUCCAAGUGUACAUUCAGGGACAGGGGAAAUAAUCACUGGUUGACCGCAAGGGCCCACUGGGUCCACUGUGAACCAAACAUGAAUCAGGACUCCAUUUAUUACAUGAACUCCACCCCACUUCACUCUUAAAGGAGGACCAGGAUAACACUCUGGGUCCUCAGCAACAAUAUCAACUUGGAUCCUGUGUGCAGCAGAAAGCGAAUUCCACCAGGGCAGAAAACAGGUCCCUCUUGGGUAUGGCUGGAUCCCUGGUUCCCAGCACAUGCAUGUCCCAAGGGCUCCAGAGACAAGAACAGAAGAAAUAGCAGAGGAGCCAUAUUUGAAGAGAUAAUAGCUGAAAAUGUCCAAGAAUUGAAGAAAGACAUGUGUCCUUAUAUCAAAGGGCAUCACAAAUAGUGAACAGAAUAGAAAGAAAUCCACGCCUCACACAUAGUAGUGAAACUGCAGAAACCAAGGAUGAAGAGGAAAUCUUAGAAGCAACCAAACAGAAGAGAGAGAGAACCCCAAAGAAACAACAGUUACCUGACAGCAGAUGCCGGGACGGAAUGGAGCCAUAUCUCUAAAGGGCUGAGAGCAGCCAGGGUGACUUCACUGUUGUUCAGUCCUCCAUUAGGGUCCCAUGGGACAUACGGCGGGAAGCCAAUGCCGUCCUUCUCCAGAGUCUCCCAUAAUUGACAGGGGUCCAUCUUCAUGUUCCUGCCCCCCCCCAUCCAUCCAUUCAUACAAAAACCAGAAACCUGAGAAUCAACCCAGAGACAGAACAUCCCCAAGGCCUGUCACUUUCUGUCUUUAAAACUCUCUUCAGUCUGUCCCUCUUCCCCAACCCCGCGGGGGUACUGUUCUGCUUCAGGCCCAUGGCAGCAGCCUCCAGCCGCCACACCAAUACUAAAGUGACCUUUGGAAGACCACUGUCUACUAAGGGCUCCCUUUAUUGCUU